rnacentral:rRNA from 1 species
UACAGAGGUCCCAAGCGUUGUUCGGAUUCACUGGGCGUAAAGGGUGCGUAGGUGGUUGGGUAAGUCUGAUGUGAAAGCUCUGGGCUCAACCCAGAAAUGGCAUUGGAUGCUAUCCGGCUAGAGGAAUGGAGGGGGGACUGGAAUACUUGGUGUAGCAGUGAAAUGCGCAGAUAUCGGGAGGAACACCGGUGGCGAAGGCGGUUCUCUGGGCCUGUACUGACGCUGAGGAGCGAAAGCGUGGGGAGCGAACAGG